AUUGAACGCUGGCGGAAUGCUUUACACAUGCAAGUCGAACGGCAGCACGGACUUCGGUCUGGUGGCGAGUGGCGAACGGGUGAGUAAUGUAUCGGAACGUGCCCAGUCGUGGGGGAUAACGUAGUGAAAAUUACGCUAAUACCGCAUACGAUCUAUGGAUGAAAGCGGGGGAUCGCAAGACCUCGCGCGAUUGGAGCGGCCGAUAUCAGAUUAGGUAGUUGGUGGGGUAAAGGCCCACCAAGCCAACGAUCUGUAGCUGGUAUGAGAGGACGACCAGCCACACUGGAACUGAGACACGGUCCAGACUCCUACGGGAGGCAGCAGUGGGGAAUUUUGGACAAUGGGCGAAAGCCUGAUCCAGCCAUUCCGCGUGCAGGAUGAAGGCCCUCGGGUUGUAAACUGCUUUUGUACAGAACGAAAAGGUUUCUACUAAUACUAGGAGCUCAUGACGGUACUGUAAGAAUAAGCACCGGCUAACUACGUGCCAGCCGCCGCAGUAA
rnacentral:rRNA from 1 species